rnacentral:misc_RNA from 1 species
ACACACACACACAGAUUUUAAACCUUUAAAAGAUUAAGAUUUAACACUAAGUUGUUGUUUGGAUUAGAGGUUUGAGAUAGCUGAUGGAAGUUUCAUAUCCAACAGCUACUUGAAACCCAUUUGGUAAAAAUACUAAACAGCUAUUGUUGAGCUGAUAUACUCUUUGAACUGCUGCAUUUUAGAAAAUUGUAAAAUUAGAGCUGUUCUCGAUCAACUAUUGCUAUUUUAAGAUAAAAAUACCACUUUUACCCGCUCAUAAUAUAUUUUUAUAUUAUUGUGAAUGUAUAUUACUCAUAUUAUCUUUUAUUAUUUAAUUUUUAUUUAUCUAUUUCAAUAGUAAAAUAA